rnacentral:lncRNA from 1 species
CUCUCCCAUUUGCACUCUUUCCUCAAAGCAUCGAGGUGUUUUUUCUUAAUAGACCUUAUGUACCUUGUGGAUGCUCUCGAUGGUCAGGAACGUCGGGAGGGUUCUCAAGUAUAAAGUCCUUCUUCAAAGAAAAAUUUCUCGGUACGAUCUUAUGAAGCGUCGCCUGUUUACCACCGGCUGGACGGGAAGUAGAAGUGGAGGUUUCUUCUUUCUGAGGAACGAAUUUGGAAGUCUUUUCCAUCGUUU